rnacentral:tRNA from 1 species
GGGCGGUUAGCUCAGCGGGAGAGCACAUCCUUGACAUGGAUGGGGUCGCAGGUUCGAUCCCUGCACCGCCCACCA